rnacentral:rRNA from 1 species
GACGAACGCUGGCGGCGUGCCUAAUACAUGCCAGUCGAACGAACCGCGACUAGGUGCUUGCACUUGGUCAAGGUGAGUGGCGAGCGGGUGAGUAACACGUGGGUAACCUACCUCAUAGUGGGGGAUAACAGUCGGAAACGACUGCUAAUACCGCAUAGGACAUAGGAUCACAUGAUUCUGUGAGGAAAGGUGGCGCAAGCUAUCGCUAAGAGAUGGACCCGCGGUGCAUUAGCUAGUUGGUAGGGUAAAGGCCUACCAAGGCGAUGAUGCAUAGCCGACCUGAGAGGGUGAUCGGCCACAUUGGGACUGAGACACGGCCCAAACUCCUACGGGAGGCAGCAGUAGGGAAUCUUCCGCAAUGGACGCAAGUCUGACGGAGCAACGCCGCGUGAGUGAAGAAGGUCUUCGGAUCGUAAGGCUCUGUUGUUAGAGAAGAACAGCGCAUAGAGUAACUGUUAUGCGUGUGACGGUAUCUAACCAGAAAGCCACGGCUAACUACGUG